CCUACGGGAGGCAGCAGUGGGGAAUAUUGGGCAAUGGGCGCAAGCCUGACCCAGCAACGCCGCGUGAAGGAAGAAGGCUUUCGGGUUGUAAACUUCUUUUCUCAGGGACGAAGCAAGUGACGGUACCUGAGGAAUAAGCCACGGCUAACUACGUGUCAGCAGCCGCGGUAAUACGUAGGUGGCAAGCGUUAUCCGGAUUUACUGGGUGUAAAGGGCGUGUAGGCGGGAAAGCAAGUCAGAUGUGAAAACCAUGGGCUCAACCUGUGGCCUGCAUUUGAAACUGUUUUUCUUGAGUACUGGGGAGGCAGACGGAAUUCCUAGUGUAGCGGUGAAAUGCGUAGAUAUUAGGAGGAACACCAGUGGCGAAGGCGGUCUGCUGGACAGCAACUGACGCUGAGGCGCGAAAGCGUGGGGAGCAAACAGGAUUAGAUACCCGAGUAGUC
rnacentral:rRNA from 1 species